UAAGGAAUAUUGGUCAAUGGGCGCAAGCCUGAACCAGCCAUGCCGCGUGAAGGAUGACGGCCCUAUGGGUUGUAAACUUCUUUUAUACGGGAAAAAACCCCCGCUCGUGAGCGGGGCUGAUGGUACCGUAAGAAUAAGGAUCGGCUAACUCCGUGCCAGCAGCCGCGGUAAUACGGAGGAUCCAAGCGUUAUCCGGAUUUAUUGGGUUUAAAGGGUGCGUAGGCGGAUUAUUAAGUCAGUGGUGAAAGCCUGCAGCUUAACUGCAGAACUGCCAUUGAUACUGAUGAUCUUGAGUACAGUUGAGGUGGGCGGAAUGUGUCAUGUAGCGGUGAAAUGCUUAGAUAUGACACAGAACACCGAUUGCGAAGGCAGCUCGCUAAACUGUAACUGACGCUGAGGCACGAAAGCGUGGGGAUCAAACAGGAUUAGAUACCCCGGUAGUCC
rnacentral:rRNA from 1 species